UGUUGUCAUAAAUCAGUGCUGCCGCUGCAGAAUCAGCUAAUUUCUCAGAAGACUUCCAUGGAAACAUGCUCUGCAGUUGUUUACAUUGGGGAGCCUGGAGGUCAUGGAACCAAGUGGCAGAUAAGGCCAGAGUACCAGCUGGGAUCUUUGAGAUCACCUGUCUCAUCUUUGUGACGUAUUCCCCAAGCCUCUGUGACUUUGUUUAUAUGUAGACAAGGGAGGCAGCAAAACCAGGCAAAGGGAAG
rnacentral:lncRNA from 1 species